rnacentral:lncRNA from 1 species
AUUUAUCAUGAAUAAUUGUAUGGCAUGUUUUCUCCUAUAUAUUACAAUAACAUUCGAUGUCUAGUAUGCUCAAGAUCAUCUGGUCUGUUUUGAGCCAAUAGCUGCUACAUUUGUUCAGUCUUAAACUCCUAAUGUUACUUUCCAUUCUAUUUCCUUAUGAUUUUUUUAUUGUCUGACUAUCGAGUAUGUAACAGUUUUGCUCUCUAAUUUGUUUGUCCAUACCCUUUGAUUUAAUCUCUUUCAUUAUUUUUUGAUUUAGGAAGAAUUGAACAAACAUCAUAUGUUAUCACUCAAUGUAAGAAAUUGAAUAAUAUUCUUCCAAAUGAAGUGGUACUAUUCCCUUCCAUAUUUUGUUGUUGUAUGCACAUCAACCUAUAAAUUAAAUAUUGGUCAACACCUAUUUGAGGUCUGAUUUUUUUAGUUUGCAAUCCAUCUUGAGUAGGAGCAAAAUUCAAGAUUCGGGAUCUACGAGAGAUGCAAGAGCUUUUGUUCUUAUCAAGGUAUUUUUACUUUUGCUUUCACCCUGGUCUCCAAACUUGUAUCAUUAAUAAUUAUCAAAUCUAGUUGCCUUGUGUAUAUUAAAACAUACCAUGCUGUGUUCAGUGUGCCCAACAUCCUCAGAUCAACAUUAUUGAGCCAGUAGCUGCUAUGUUGGUUUAAUCUGCAAACUACCCCUUUCUAUUUCUUUUGGGCCCUUUAUUGUCUCACCAUGCAGUACUAUAAAACUGUAUUAUUGUCUCACCAAUGAUCCUUUUGGUUUCAUGCUCUUCCAUUAUGUUAUGAUUUAGGGACCAAUGAUCCGUUGCAUGGAAAUUACACGGAAUAGGAUCAGCACAACAAGG